AUACAUAUAUAAUUAAUACAGCAUAAUGCAUUAAUAUGUUGGGAUUAUUAAAACUUUUUAUUCGAUUUAGUUUUGGGAUGUUGGGAUUAUUGAAACUUUUUAUUGGAUUUAGUUUUGGGACAUACUAUUCACCCUGGGGCUCACAUUACCUUAUACAUAUAUAAUUAAUACAGCAUAAUGCAUGAAUAUGUUGGGACUAUUGAAACUUUUGAUUGGAUUUAGUUUUGGGACAUACUAUUCACCCUGGGGCUCACAUUACCCUAUACAUAUAUAAUUAAUACAGCAUAAUGUGUUGGCUUAAAUAGGCCAGCAUUCUAUCCUGUAGCGGGAGGCCAUGUAGGCCGAGUUAUGUUCGAAAUGGCGUGAGGUUGGGUUGGGCUGAGUCAUGUUCGAAGUGGCGUGAGGCUGGUUGGGCCGAAUCACAAUCGAGACUCAUGGCGCUGUAUCUAUACGCUUUAAGUGAAUUGAUUACGUUUUUCUAACAGCUCGAGCUUUUGGGAUUAAUGGUUAGCGCUAACGAUCCGACAAGUGGUAUUAGAGCCAGAGGUCAUAGGUUCAAUUCCCACAUGCUGCAAAUGUGUUCAGGUGCUGGAUUAAAUUGGCUAGCAUCCUGCUUUGUGGCGGGAGGUCAUGUGGGCCGAGUCAUGUUCGAAGUGGCGUGAGGCUAGUUGGGCCGAGUCACAAUCGAGACUCAUGGGUGCUGUUUCUGUACGCUUUAAGCGAAUUGGUUGCGUAUUUCUAACAGCUCGAGCUUUAGGGAUUGAUGGCUAGCGCCAGCGAUCUGACAUAAUGCAUGAAUAUGUUGGGAUUAUUGAAACUUUUGAUUGGAUUUAGUUUUGGGACAUACUAUUCACCCUGGGGCUCACAUUAUCCUAUACAUAUAUAAUUAAUACAGCAUAAUGCAUGAAUAUGUGGGGAUUAUUGAAACUUUUGUUUGGAUUUAGUUUUGGAACAUACCAUUCACCCUGGGGCAUCUACAAGAAGAUCAAAAUUAUGAGAAAUGUUCCAAUACACCAGCCAAUUUAAAUCUGAUCAUUCAAAUUUUUGAGGUUAAGAUUGACUUUUCCAAUCGUAACUUACUUAACAGGUUACCAAUCAAUCGUAAAGAUAAUAUUUGAAAAUAUGUAUUAGCUAAUUACCAAAUUUGAUAAUAUCCAACAAAUUUUCAUUUCUUAAUUUAAUUUUG
rnacentral:lncRNA from 1 species